GGUGCAUGCGUUGGGGAUUGGUUCCUUGAAGUCGUAAACAAAACGACUCUCGGCAACGGAUAUCUCGGCUCUCGCAUCGAUGAAGAACGUAGCGAAAUGCGAUACUUGGUGUGAAUUGCAGAAUCCCGUGAACCAUCGAGUCUUUGAACGCAAGU
rnacentral:rRNA from 1 species